rnacentral:tRNA from 1 species
UCCCUGGUGGCUCAGAGGUUAAAGCGUCUGCCUGCAAUGCGGGAGACCCUGGUUUGAUCCCUGGGUCGGGAA